rnacentral:rRNA from 1 species
GAUGAACGCUGGCGGCGUGCCUUAUACAUGCAAGUCGAGUGGGUUUAGACCCACGGCAAACGGGUGAGUAACACGUAGGUACUUUCCUUGUCACAGGAAUAACCCUCCGAAAGGAGGGCUAAUACCUGAUGUGAUCGCAAGAUUAAAGGGUAUCCGCAAGGAUUACCGGACAAGAAGAGGCCUGCGGCCUAUCAGCUAGUUGGCGGGGUAAAUGCCCACCAAGGCUAUGACGGGUAGCUGGUCUUAUGAGGAUGAUCAGUCACAUGGGCACUGAGACACGGGCCCAACUCCUACGGGAGGCAGCAGUAGGGAAUUUUGCGCAAUGGGCGAAAGCCUGACGCAGCGACCCCGCGUGCGGGAUGAAGGCCUUCGGGUCGGAAACCGCUUUUAUAAGGGACGAACUUUGACGGUACCUUAUGAAUAAGAGGUUGCUAACUCUGUG